AAAUGAGGAGUCUCUGCCUAUAAGAAGCUAUCCCCAGCUGGAGAUGAGCGGUUUGGCCGCCGCUGUUCUGGGAAGGGAUGUGCAUUUGAACCGGUAGGGACUGAGUGCUGUACCUGUAAUAAUCCUCCUUGCAGUAAAUACUACCGUCCUUGGCAAAGCAGCCGGGACCGCUCGAGCCCUGUCCUGUGUGUGGCUGUUCCCUGCCCGUCUGACUGAAGCUGAGACCGAGCAAACUCAUCGCCUGUGCCCGGAGCCUAGAGAGCUACGGUGAAGGAUACACUAGCUGCUGCUGCUGCUGCUGCUCCAGCAAAGAAGGCCAGGGGUUUCUUAAGCUUUUUCUCGUUAACAUCUUAAUGUUGAGAGACCACUCCUGACCUAGAGCGACACUAAAACUUUGUUGCUAGCAUCAAACGUGACUUCUUCAUUUCCAAAAGGCCCGUAGUAGACCAAGGCACUUGCUAAUUUGGACA